rnacentral:tRNA from 1 species
GGGCCUUUAGCGCAGAAGGUUAGAGCAACCGCCUCAUAAGCGGUCGGUCCUGGGUUCGAAUCCCAGAGGGCCCA